UACGUAGGGACCAAGCGUUGUUCGGAUUUACUGGGCGUAAAGGGCGCGUAGGCGGCGCGGUAAGUCACUUGUGAAAUCUCUGAGCUUAACUCAGAACGGCUAAGUGAUACUGCAGUGCUAGAGUGUGGAAGGGGCAAUCGGAAUUCUUGGUGUAGCGGUGAAAUGCGUAGAUAUCAAGAGGAACACCUGAGGUGAAGACGGGUUGCUGGGCCAACACUGACGCUGAUGCGCGAAAGCCAGGGGAGCAAACGGG
rnacentral:rRNA from 1 species